rnacentral:rRNA from 1 species
UACGGGGGGGGCAAGCGUUGUUCGGAAUUACUGGGCGUAAAGGGCUCGUAGGCGGCCAACUAAGUCAGACGUGAAAUCCCUCGGCUUAACCGAGGAACUGCCAUCCAGACUGCUUUGCUUGAGGCCGGGAGAGGUGAGUGGAAUUCCCAGUGUAGCGGUGAAAUGCGUAGAUAUUGGGAGGAACACCAGUGGCGAAGGCGGCUCACUGGACCGGUUCUGACGCUGAUGCGCGAAAGCGUGGGGAGCAAACGGG